AGCAGUAGCCGCGGGAAUACGUAGGUGGCAGGCGUUGUCCGGAAUUAUUGGGCGUAAAGCGCGCGCAGGCGGAUAGGUCAGUCUGUCUUAAAAGUUCGGGGCUUAACCCCGUGAUGGGAUGGAAACUGCCAAUCUAGAGUAUCGGAGAGGAAAGUGGAAUUCCUAGUGUAGCGGUGAAAUGCGUAGAGAUUAGGAGGAACACCGAAGGCGAAGGCAGCCCCUUGGGAAUGUACUGACGCUCAUGUGCGAAAGCGUGGGGAGCAAACAGGAUUAGAUACCCCUGUAGUCCCUGUCUCUUAUACA
rnacentral:rRNA from 1 species